CUAACUCACUUCCGGGUUUUAGGACUCGUCACUGCACCACUCUAUUACGUAAAGGAUAAUACUUUACUAAAUGUAGGUGCAUUCCACCUUGGUGGAUGACGACAUUGAAGAUGACAUUGGCUGCGUGUUGAACAUCAUCAGCAAAAUCAUUAAUGGUGGUUUCGCGAUGGGGCACAAACCUAAGCUUUGGAGAAUGGUGAAGCUCAUCUUCCAGCCCGAGUGCGACAAUGAGACCGCAGUACACUACUUUGCCGAAUGCAAAGACCAAUAACUAUCAUGGAGUAAAUAACCUUUUCUUCAAACCAGAGUUGAAUUAUAGCAGUAAUAAAGAGAAGCAUGUUGCACCUUU